UUGUUUCUCUUUCAAGCUCACGCUGAUACCUCCGUUUGGAGAGGAGGGUGCAAGGGUUGAAUUCUGUUUGCGAUAUGAAACAUCUUUUGGCACUUUUUGGGCCAACAACAAUGGGAAGAAUUAUGCUCUGUGUUUCUAUGAAAAGACAAAGGAGAAAGCCCAAAAUGAGAGUGAAAACAGAAGAAAAAGCUGUUUGAAAGGAACCAGCUCAAACUUCUCUGCUUUGAGUGCUGCAACAACAAAUAAUGAAGAAUUUCCUGAUAAAAUAUUAAAUUCUGGACAGGACACUGUCUCUGAAUCUCAAAACUUUAAUUCUGAGGAACACCAAAAGGAAAGCAAGGAAUUACUGGUGGAAAUAAGUAGAAACCGCAGUCGAAGGAACAGAAGAAAGGCUGCGCGGUUAGCAAAAGUCAAAGAGCACUUUGCUCGGAGAGAAGAGGAGAAACAAGGGACCAAGAAGACAAAAAGUGAAGUCACAGCUGAAACCAGCAUGCAGGAUUAUGAAUUGCUGGUGAAGGAGCCAUGCAGCCUUUCACAACAAA